AUAUUUUUAUUUUCUUCUUUGUCUCAUAAUAAGAAAUCAACUUGUAGACCUCUAGAUCCAGGUUGGCAAUGUCUCUCUCACUGCCUGAUUUCCUUCCUUUCUUUCUCUCCCUUCCUUCCUCCCUCCCUCCCUCCUUUCCUUCCUUCCU